rnacentral:rRNA from 1 species
CCUACGGGUGACAGCAGUGAGGAAUAUUGGUCAAUGGUCGGGAGACUGAACCAGCCAAGCCGCGUGAGGGAGGAAGGUACAGAGUAUCGUAAACCUCUUUUGUCAGGGAACAAAGGCGGGGACGUGUCCCCGGAUGAGUGUACCUGAAGAAAAAGCAUCGGCUAACUCCGUGCCAGCAGCCGCGGUAAUACGGAGGAUGCGAGCGUUAUCCGGAUUUAUUGGGUUUAAAGGGUGCGCAGGCGGGUUGUUAAGUCAGUGGUGAAAGCCCGGGGCUCAACCCCGGCCCCGCCGUUGAAACUGGCAGUCUCGAGUUGGAGAGAGGUAGGCGGAAUUCGCGGUGUAGCGGUGAAAUGCAUAGAUAUCGCGCAGAACUCCGAUUGCGAAGGCAGCAUGCCGGCUCCACACUGACGCUGAGGCACGAAAGCGUGGGUAUCGAACAGGAUUAGAUACCCGUGUAGUC